UAUUUCAAGUUUGACCUGCCCAAUGAGUGUUUAAAUGGCCGCGGUAUAUUGACCGUGCAAAGGUAGCAUAAUCAUUAUUUUUUAAUUAAAAGCUAGUAUGAAGGGUUUGAUGAGAGGGUUUCUGUCUCUAGAGGAGUUUAUUAGAAUUUUAUUUUUAAGUAAAAAAGCUUAAAUUUGUAUAGAAGACGAGAAGACCCUAUAGAGUUUUAUGUUUAUUAAGAUGAUAUAAUAUAGGAAUUAAAAAUUUACUUAUUUUAGUAGAUGUUUUAUUGGGGUGAUAGAAAAAUUGAUUUAACUUUUUUUGUAAUAGAAUAUUAAUAUGUAGAUUUAUGAUCCUAGGAGCUUAGAUUAUAAGAUUAAAUUACCUUAGGGAUAACACGUAAUUUUUUUUAGAGUUCUUAUCGAAAGAAAAGAUUGCGACCUCGAUGUUGGAUUAAAAUAAGUUAUUGGUGUAGAUGCUAAAUAACUAGGUCUGUUCGACCUUUUAAGUUUUACAUGAUCUGAGUUUAGACCGGCGUGAG
rnacentral:rRNA from 1 species